rnacentral:rRNA from 1 species
GAUGAACGCUGGCGGCGUGCUUAACACAUGCAAGUCGAACGGAAAGGCUCCUGCUUGCAGGGGUACUCGAGUGGCGAACGGGUGAGUAACACGUGGGUGAUCUGCCCUGCACUUCGGGAUAAGCCUGGGAAACUGGGUCUAAUACCGGAUAGGACCACAUUUUGGAUGGUGUGGUGGAAAGUUUUUCGGUGUGAGAUGAGCUCGCGGCCUAUCAGCUUGUUGGUGGGGUAAUGGCCUACCAAGGCGUCGACGGGUAGCCGGCCUGAGAGGGUGUACGGCCACAUUGGGACUGAGAUACGGCCCAGACUCCUACGGGAGGCAGCAGUGGGGAAUAUUGCACAAUGGGCGCAAGCCUGAUGCAGCGACGCCGCGUGGGGGAUGACGGCCUUCGGGUUGUAAACUCCUUUCGCUAGGGACGAAGCGUUUUUGUGACGGUACCUGGAGAAGAAGCACCGGCUAACUACGUG